UACGUAGGGGGCAAGCGUUGUCCGGAAUCAUUGGGCGUAAAGCGCGUGUAGGCGGUCCGGUAAGUCGGCUGUGAAAGUCCAGGGCUCAACCCUGGGAUGCCGGUCGAUACUGCCGGACUAGAGUUCGGAAGAGGCGAGUGGAAUUCCCGGUGUAGCGGUGAAAUGCGCAGAUAUCGGGAGGAACACCUAUGGCGAAGGCAGCUCGCUGGGACGUUACUGACGCUGGAGGCGCGAAAGCUAGGGGGAGCAAACGGG
rnacentral:rRNA from 1 species